GCCCUGGUGGCGGAAUUGGUAGACGCGCAUGCUUCAGGUGCAUGUUACCUCAGGUAGUGGAAGUUCGAGUCUUCUCCAGGGCA
rnacentral:tRNA from 1 species